AUGCAAGAAAUCGUGUGUGGGUGUGCGGGUAAACCUGGGGUGGAGAACACAAGGUCAUGUCGAUGCGAGUGCCCUGCCUUAAUAAGACUGCUCCGACCAAAGGACAAUGAUUGGUACAUAGCAGAGCAUCAUGAACAGCACAACUAUUCAUUGUCUCCGACAUAUUGUCAGACAAUACACUGGCCGUCGCACAAGCAUAUUGAUGCGUACAGUGGGGACUCGGUGGAGCAGUUGCGGCAGAACAAUGUGAACCUGGCAAAAGUGCACAGCAUCAUCGGGAGUUUUUUUGGUUCAGUGGAGAAGGUACCUUUCACAAAAAGAGCUCUGAAGAAUUUGUGUGGCAAAAUCAGCAGAGAGCAGGCAGAGGACGAUGUUAGGAAAACUAUGGAGGUUUUUGCAGAAUUGGGUUCACAAGAUCCACAUUUCACAUACCGAGUCCAGGCAGACAAAGAUGGUCGGAUAACCACUCUUAUGUGGGAAAAUGGGAGCAGCAGACUGCAGUACACAUUCUUCGAAGACGUUGUUACCUUCGAUACGACGUACAGAACAAACUUGUACAACAUGCCCUUUGGCCUCUUUGUCGGUGUGAAUAACCAUUUUCAGAGCAUCAUCCUAGCCGGGGUUUUGGUUCGUGACGAAAAAGUUGAGACCUUUGAGUGGGUUUUCACAGAGUUCGUUAGGAUGAUGGGUGGAAGUGCCCCUAAGAAAAUUCUAACCGAUCAUAACCGUUCGGUGGAGGUCGCCAUAAAAAAUGUGAUGCCGCAGAUAGAGCACUGA
rnacentral:rRNA from 1 species